AUUGAACGCUGGCGGCAGGCCUAACACAUGCAAGUCGAGCGAGCGGCGGACGGGUGAGUAAUGUAUGGGGACUGCCCGAUAGAGGGGGAUAACUACUGGAAACGGUAGCUAAUACCGCAUACUAUCGGAUGACCCAUUUGGGAGUAGCUAGUAGGGGGGGUAAUGGCUAACCUAGGCGACGAUCCCUCGCUGGUCUGAGAGGAUGAUGAGCCACAUGGGGACUGAGACACGGCCCAGACUCCUACGGAGGAAGCAGUGGGGAAUAUUGCACAAUGGGCGCAAGCCUGAUGCAGCCAUGCCGCGUGUAUGAAGAAGGCCUUAGGGUUGUAAAGUACUUUCAGUCGGGAGGCGUUACCGACAGAAGAAGCACCGGCUAACUCCGUGCCAGCAGCCGCGGUAAUUC
rnacentral:rRNA from 1 species